GACGAACGCUGGCGGCGUGCUUAACACAUGCAAGUCGAACGGUGAAGCGCCUUCCUUUUUGGUGGGUGUGGAUGAGUGGCGAACGGGUGAGUAACACGUGAGUAACCUGCCCCCUUCUUCUGGAUAACCGCAUGAAAGUGUGGCUAAUACGGGAUAUUCUGGGUCUGUCGCAUGAUGGUUCUGGGAAAGAUAUUGUUUCGGUGGGGGAUGGGCUCGCGGCCUCUCAGCUUGUUGGUGGGGUGAUGGCGUACCAAGGCGGUGACGGGUAGCAGGCCUGAGAGGGUGGACGGUCACACUGGGACUGCGACGCGGCCCAGACUCCUACGGGAGGCAGCAGUGGGGAAUAGUGCACAAUGGGCGCAAGCCUGAUGCAGCGACGCCGCGGGAGGGAUGGAGGCCUUCGGGUUGUGAACCUCUUUCGCCAGUGAAGCAGGCCUGCCUCGUUUGUGGGUGGGUUGACGGUAGCUGGAUAAGAAGCGCCGGCUAACUACGUG
rnacentral:rRNA from 1 species